UUAAGUUCCCCGCCUGGGGAGUAUGCUCGCAAGAGUGAAACUCAAAGGAAUUGACGGGAGUUCACACAAUAGGUUUUUUUAGACCAAAAAUUCAUGUCCGCGUUUUUUGAAAAAAACGCGGAGAUCUCGAAGAAAAUCUACGAUUUUCUUCGACAUGAAACUUAUUCAUGACCGCAUAGUCUGCCUAACAAAUACGCAAGUAUUUCGUAAAUGUGAAUUCCCAAAAAACAAAAACAAAACUGGCUCAAAACGGCGGAAACAUUAAUUUUUAAUACAAUGCCGUGGGUAAUUUUAACUCUAUCUUUUUAUUGAUAUUGAUAAAUCCUGUAACGACUUAUUCUACUCCUUGUCAGGAAAUUGAUUGAUGAUAGUUUAUUAUAAUCAAUUAAAGAAUAGAUUACAUCUUAUACAUGUAAUAAUACGCCAGCUCUUUUAUAGAGAUUAAUUUAUAGAACUGAAUAAUAAAAAAAUUAUCUUUAAAAGGUUGACAACCUUGAAUAAAAGAUGAAAGCAUAGUCUGUUUGAUAUCGCAAGGUAAUCAUAUACAAUCUCUUAACGGGAUUAUGCGGUUUAAUUUGAUGCAACGCAAAGAACCUUACCAGGGUUUGACAUAGUUUGAAAUCCUUUAGAAAUAGAGGAGUGCUUAGUUCUUAUGGAAUUAAGAAUCAUUUUACAGGUGGUGCAUGGCUGUCGUCAGCUCGUGCGUUGACGUGUAUGGUUAAGUCCUGCAACGAGCGCAACCCUCGUCUUUAGUUACUUUCCAAGUUCUCUAAAGAGACUGCGCGCGCAAGCGCUGAGGAAGGUGAGGAUGACGUCAAGUCAGCAUGCCCCUUACACCCUGGGCUACACGCGUAAUACAAUGGCUAAGACAAUCAGAAGCUAACCUGCAAAGGUACGCCAAUCUGCCAAACUUAGCCCUAGUUCGGAUUGUAGGCUGCAACUCGCCUACAUGAAGCCGGAAUCUAUAGUAAUCGCCAGUCAGCCAUAUGGCGGUGAAUACGUUCCUGAACUCUGUACACACCGCCCGUCACACCAAGAAAGAUGGCAGUGGAUUAAGUUAUUAGUCUAACCUUACGGAAGACGGUACCCACUCCAAGGCUAUUGAUCAUGGUGAAGUCGUAACAAGGUAGGGGUACUGGAAGGUGUCCCUG
rnacentral:rRNA from 1 species